UACGGAGGGUGCAAGCGUUAUCCGGAUUCACUGGGUUUAAAGGGUGCGUAGGCGGGCAGGUAAGUCAGUGGUGAAAUCCCCGAGCUUAACUUGGGAACUGCCGUUGAUACUAUCUGUCUUGAAUACUAUGGAGGUAAGCGGAAUAUGUCAUGUAGCGGUGAAAUGCUUAGAUAUGACAUAGAACACCAAUUGCGAAGGCAGCUCUCUGGGACGGUACUGACGCUGAGACGCGAAAGCGUGGGGAGCGAACAGG
rnacentral:rRNA from 1 species